rnacentral:tRNA from 1 species
AGGCCGAUAGCUCAGGGGUAGAGCGCAUGCCUAGCAGGCAGGAGGUCCUGGGUUCAAUCCCCGGUGCCUC